UACGUAGGGGGCGAGCGUUGUCCGGAAUUACUGGGCGUAAAGCGCGCGCAGGCGGUCCACUAAGUCUGAUGUGAAAGCCCCCGGCUUAACCGGGGAGGGUCAUUGGAAACUGGUGGACUUGAGUGCAGGAGAGGAGAGUGGAAUUCCCGGUGUAGCGGUGAAAUGCGUAGAGAUCGGGAGGAACACCAGUGGCGAAGGCGGCUCUCUGGUCUGUAACUGACACUGAGGCGCGAAAGCGUGGGGAGCAAACAGG
rnacentral:rRNA from 1 species